rnacentral:ncRNA from 1 species
UAUUAUGCAGUUUGUCUAUGAAAUAUGCAUAGUCUUAACUCAUUUAUUUUAUAGAGUGGUUCCCUGUGUUCUGGUAAAAGCUUUAUUUUCAAGACUUCUUUAUAAAAUAAAAAUGUAAAGAAAAACCUAGCUGUAAGACAAUGUAGCUUUUGAGGCCCUGUAAUUGGAAUGAGUCCACUUUAAAUCCUUUAAUGAGGAUCCAUUGUAGGGCAAGUCUGGUGCCAGCAGCCGCGGUAAUUCCAGCUCCAAUAGUGUAUAUUAAAGUUGCUGCAGUUAAAAAGCUCGUAGUUGGAUCUUGGGAGCAGGCGUGAGGUCCACUGCGAGGCGAGCCACC